AUUGAACGCUGGCGGCAGGCUUAACACAUGCAAGUCGAGCGGAGUGAUGGUGCUUGCACUAUCACUUAGCGGCGGACGGGUGAGUAAUGCUUAGGAAUCUGCCUAUUAGUGGGGGACAACAUCUCGAAAGGGAUGCUAAUACCGCAUACGUCCUACGGGAGAAAGCAGGGGAUCACUUGUGACCUUGCGCUAAUAGAUGAGCCUAAGUCGGAUUAGCUAGUUGGUGGGGUAAAGGCCUACCAAGGCGACGAUCUGUAGCGGGUCUGAGAGGAUGAUCCGCCGAACUGGGACUGGAACACGGCCCAGACUCCUGCGGGAGGCAGCAGUGGGGAAUAUUGGACAAUGGGGGGAACCCUGAUCCAGCCAUGCCGCGUGUGUGAAGAAGGCCUUAUGGUUGUAAAGCACUUUAAGCGAGGAGGAGGCUCUUUUGGUUAAUACCCAAGAUGAGUGGACGUUACUCGCAGAAUAAGCACCGGCUAACUCUGUGCCAGCCGCCGCAGUAA
rnacentral:rRNA from 1 species